UGGGGAAUAUUGCACAAUGGGCGCAAGCCUGAUGCAGCAACGCCGCGUGAACGAUGAAGGUCUUCGGAUCGUAAAGUUCUGUUGCAGGGGAAGAUAAUGACGGUACCCUGUGAGGAAGCCCCGGCUAACUACGUGCCAGCAGCCGCGGUAAUACGUAGGGGGCUAGCGUUAUCCGGAUUUACUGGGCGUAAAGGGUGCGUAGGUGGUCUUUCAAGUCGGUGGUUAAAGGCUACGGCUCAACCGUAGUUAGCCUCCGAAACUGGAAGACUUGAGUGCAGGAGAGGAAAGUGGAAUUCCCAGUGUAGCGGUGAAAUGCGUAGAUAUUGGGAGGAACACCAGUAGCGAAGGCGGCUUUCUGGACUGCAACUGACACUGAGGCACGAAAGCGGGGGUAGCAAACAGG
rnacentral:rRNA from 1 species